rnacentral:lncRNA from 1 species
CCCCCUAAUAAAUGUCGGCAUAACAACUUCUCCCAAUUAAAUGCUUGCAUGCAUACAUGUAUGUUCUUAAACAUAAAUUUGUCAUUUUGCUUACAAUGUAGCUUCUCCUGUUAACUAUUCUGACAUUAGAACUUUUUUAAACUGAGUUUUACUGUGUGUAUUGCUGUGUGUUUGUUUAUUCUUAAUUGGCUAAUGGCUAGAGGUAAAAGGGAGGGUUGAGACCUCACUCAACAUGUUUAAUCCUGCUACAUUUUUGCACCUGUCCCAAGUCGGGAUCAAGCCUCUGGCCUUUGUUAGUCUUGUAUUUUUUUUUGAAUUUAAGUUGGUGGCCUUCGUCUAUUUUCAUCAAGUUGUUGUCUCCUUUAACACAUUCCCAGUUUCCAUUCUGAAUUUGAGUUGAAAUUCAAUCAUCUUAUCUAGUUCAGGUCAUGCCUUAAAACUUAACCAGAGGCACAACCAGCUAAUUUCUUCGUUAAGUUUAAACCGUUCAAAAUAAAGGUUGUCCCUAGCACUCAAUUACCAAUGAAAAUACAUGCAUACAU